AGUGAACGCUGGCGGUAGGCCUAACACAUGCAAGUCGAACGGCAGCACAGUAAGAGCUUGCUCUUACGGGUGGCGAGUGGCGGACGGGUGAGGAAUACAUCGGAAUCUACUUUUUCGUGGGGGAUAACGUAGGGAAACUUACGCUAAUACCGCAUACGACCUACGGGUGAAAGCAGGGGAUCUUCGGACCUUGCGCGAUUGAAUGAGCCGAUGUCGGAUUAGCUAGUUGGCGGGGUAAAGGCCCACCAAGGCGACGAUCCGUAGCUGGUCUGAGAGGAUGAUCAGCCACACUGGAACUGAGACACGGUCCAGACUCCUACGGGAGGCAGCAGUGGGGAAUAUUGGACAAUGGGCGCAAGCCUGAUCCAGCCAUACCGCGUGGGUGAAGAAGGCCUUCGGGUUGUAAAGCCCUUUUGUUGGGAAAGAAAAGCAGCGGGUUAAUACCCCGCUGUUCUGACGGUGCCCAAAGAAUAAGCACCGGCUAACUUCGUG
rnacentral:rRNA from 1 species